CUUUCCGGUGAGGGAACCUCUCUCCAGACAUGAUCAAGAGAAACUGGCGAGGGACUGACAUGAUCUAGCUUACCUUGGGUCACCGAACGGAUUUGAACUCAUGUGAGAAUAUAUCUCUGUUGUAUUCAAAAGGCAUGUGACAUAAUUAUCCCAGCGAUCACUAAAACUGUAAAUUUGGAUGCAAUUAAGAGAGAAAACUCCACACAUUUAUGGAAAUUUAAGUGAUGGAAUGUAAUCCAGAAUGUACUUUUUUAUUUCUGAAAUCUCUGUAAAACAGUACAAUGGAAAAAUGAAAACGAAAGACAUAAUUGAGGAAAUCCAACAUCCCACAAAAAGGAAUUCUAGAAAGAGGAGGCUUCGUGUAUACCAGCUGGCCUUGAGUUCACCCUGUAGCUCACUUCCUGAUCUCCAGACUUUCCCUCCAAGUGCUGAUAUUCGAGUCCAGUGGCACUAAACGUGUGGAGUAGUUUUAAUCAAAAUGUGUUCUUUGUGCUUAUUAUCUUACAGUUUUUCUAUAAUAUUCUAAUAGUAUAAAAAAGAUCUCAAGAUUUGCCACAUCUUAGGCUAUCUUUGUUCUAUUAAAUUGUAACAAUGAAAAAAAGUGUCCGUUUUGAGACACAGAUAUGCUUCUGUGAGAGGCUUGCUAAGGCUAGGAACACAGUGGAAGCUAAAACUGUAUUGAAGAACUACCCAGAGAAGAAACACUUGAUGCAAUUUUUGACUCCUAAGCACAACACCAACUAUUGUGGGUGUCACAUAAUUUCUUACUCUUAUGCACUGUAUGAAGUUAAAAGCCAGUUUAAAAUUAUCACUAGUAAAUCUGUAAAAAAUAUUUUAUUAAAAUUCUCAACC
ensembl:processed_transcript